AAGCAAAAUAGAAAAGCUUCUUGUAAACGACGAAGGUGUUAUAAAUAUCACAACACCGACGAGGGUGUGUUUUUCUCCGAAGCUUUGUUGGCGGCAAAGCAAAUCUGUAUUGCGAUGGCGCCUACGAAGCUAUUCUUCUUUGCGUUUUCAGUAGCCCUAAUUUUCUCCAUCGUCGGGGCCGAGGCUGAUGUUUCCGUCGAAGGAAGCGUAGCAGAGCCUGAUACCUCUGCCUUCAAGAUCCAAUUAGAUCAACUCAAUUCUAAGAUCCGAAUUCUCGAAUCUGAAAUCAGAGAAAAGUCAGAAGAAGUGAAGAGGAAGGACGAAAUUGUGGCCGGAAAAGAAAAAAUUAUUCAGGAUAAAUCGGUCACCAUACAGUCCCUGCAGAAUGAUAUUGCUUCUCUCCAGAAAAAAGGGUCAUUGGAUGCUGAAGAGCAAGUCGGAAAGGCUCAUGCACGGGCUGUUGAACUACAGAAGCAGGUGGACCAGCUUAAAGGGGAACUAGAAACUCAAAACAGGGAGAAAGGGAACUGGGAAACUCGAGUGCUUGGGUUAGAGAAAAAAGUUAAUGACUUGAACUCAAAAUUAGAAGAUCUUCAAAAGAUAAACCAGGAGCAGAGGACACAGAUUCAGAAAACGGAACGUGCUCUUAAAGUUACUGAGGAAGAGAUGGUGAAGGCUAAGUUUGAGGCAGCUGUCACAGAAGCAGAGUUGAGUGCGACACGUGGUGCUUGGCUUCCACCUUGGCUUGCUGUACACUAUCUUCAUAGUAAGUCUUGUGUUGAGACUCAAUGGAACAAACAUGGGAAACCUGUUUGGGAAAAGGUUGCUCAAAAGGCCCUAGAUAAGAAGGCACAAGCUGGAAAGUGGGCUGAACCUCAUGUGGAAACCAUUAAAACUAAAUGGGUCCCUGCUGUAAAAGAACAGUGGUCUGUGGUGAAAACAAGUGCUGAACCGCAUUUGCAAUUAUUGACCACAAAAACUGUUGAAGGUUAUGAGGCUACCAGGAAGACAAUUUCUCCCCAUUUAAGCAAGGCAAAAGAAUUUGUUCAUCCUUAUUAUCAGGAAGCUAGAAAGUUCAGCAAGCCAUACAUUGAUCAGAUUGCUGUUGCAGCUAAACCUCACGUUGAUAAAGUACAAGUGGUUUUGAAGCCCUACACAAAUAAAGUUGUUCAUAGUUAUGGGAAAUUUUUGGAAUCAGCUACUACAUAUCAUCGCCAGGUCCAAGCCACUGUCCAAGAGACACUGAAAAAGCAUGAGCUCACCAGACCUCUUGCUACUAAAGAGUUAGAAUGGUUUGCGGCCUCUGCUCUUUUGGCUCUACCCAUUAUUUUUGUGGCUAGAGUGUUUUCAGCUGUGUUCUGCAAUAAGAAAGUGAAUAAACCUUAUCGAAGUGGAAAUAACCAUGCGCGACGCAAAGCUAAACGAAGCCAUCCAGACAAGCACACAUCAUAAAGAUUCAUGAUGCAAAAGUGUGCUUUGAUAUCUUUACCAUAAACUGCUACAUAUAAUGCUUGUGUGGCUCAAUUUGCUUUUAAAUUUUCAUGAGGAACAUUAGUUGUUACUGAGUAGGAUUCAUGUGGGUUAUACCAAAUGAUAUGAGUUCUACUCCUUAUUUAACAGGUCCCACAUUAUUUUUAUCCAAUAACAGAGUUGUUCUUUGGAAAAUAAUGUUUGAUUCGUAGCUGUGUAUAUGGAAAUGUUUUUGUUGGUGAAGAUAGUUUUUCCUGUUCGCAUGGGCUUAUGGAGGGCUAUAUCUUUCAUGUCAUGAGGGGUUUUGAAUAUUUGCUUCUCUUUUUCUGGGUGAGGUAACUUUAGGAUGUUUCACUGUAGAGUUGGGCACACACUAUGUUUAGGUGUUAUGUAUUGUCUUGUCACUGUGUUAUAUUUGUUAUUAUACUUGGCACUCCCAUUUCCUGUCGGUUUUGUUUUCUUAAAUUCUUGACAGUAGAAGUGUUUCCACUUGAUGUAUGUUCAUUAGAAUCAGAAUUUUUCUUUCUAUCGCGGUUUUCUGCGGAACGUUAAAUUUAUUUUUAGAAGAAACUAAUUCAUCAGUUAUUCUUCAUUGGAA